UACGUAGGGUGCAAGCGUUGUCCGGAAUUAUUGGGCGUAAAGAGCUCGUAGGCGGUUUGUUGCGUCGGCUGUGAAAUCCCGAGGCUCAACCUCGGGUCUGCAGUCGAUACGAGCAAACUAGAGUGUUGCAGGGGAGACUGGAAUUCCUGGUGUAGCGGUGAAAUGCGCAGAUAUCAGGAGGAACACCGGUGGCGAAGGCGGGUCUCUGGGCAACAACUGACGCUGAGGCGCGAAAGCUAGGGGAGCGAACAGG
rnacentral:rRNA from 1 species